rnacentral:rRNA from 1 species
UAGAGUUUGAUCCUGGCUCAGGAUGAACGCUGGCGGCGUGCCUAAUACAUGCAAGUCGAACGAAAUACCUUCGGGUAUUUAGUGGCGAACGGGUGAGUAAUACGUAGAUAACCUGCCUAUAUGCCUGGGAUAACUAUUGGAAACGAUAGCUAAUACCGGAUAGGUAGAAUGAGGGCCUCCUUAUUCUAUUAAAGUUGGGAAACAACACAAAUAGAUGGGUCUACGGCGCAUUAGUUAGUUGGUGGGGUAACGGCCUACCAAGACGAUGAUGCGUAGCCGACCUGAGAGGGUGACCGGCCACACUGGGACUGAGACACGGCCCAGACUCCUACGGGAGGCAGCAGUAGGGAAUUUUCGGCAAUGGGGGAAACCCUGACCGAGCAACGCCGCGUGAGUGAUGAAGGCCUUCGGGUUGUAAAGCUCUGUUGUAAGGGAAGAAUGCUAGGUAGAGGGAAUGCUAUCUAGGUGACGGUACCUUACCAGAAAGCCACGGCUAACUACGUGCCAGCAGCCGCGGUAAUA